CUCCUUUCUUCCAACUUGCAUCUUUCCAACUCCUACUCAUCCUCCAGGUCUCACUUAGAUGCCCCUUCUUCCAGAGAGCCUUCAGAGCCUGGGGGAGGAGCCCUUCCUUUGUGUGUCCAGGGAGAGGACAUACAAGGAACACACGGCCUUCCCUCUCAUAGCAUUGAACAGAUUUUGCCCAGUCACUCUGUGCACCCCGAAGUAGACUGUCAGUGUCCUGAUGGCACAGACCUGAGCACCAUUACACUUCCAGAGCUCCCACAGUACCUCAUAUGCAGUAACUACUCAAUAAAAUAAUGAGUGGAACUGACGUUCUUCUAAUCCAACCCUCUCCUUUAACAAGUAAAGGUCAACUGACCUAGUCAAGGUUACACAGCUAGUGAAUGACAGCCAGUGCUAGCACCCAGAUACUUCACCAUCCAUUUCAGUGCUUCCCAGGUGCCUCACACUGACUGCUCAUCAUUUAUUAAAAAAGAAUCCAGGUAACUUCUGGAAAGCCUAGCAGCCAGCCCUGGGAAAACAGAACAUCAGCAGCCAGUUCGUCCAGCCCCUCCCAAGGUCAGAACUGGGGAGGAGAAAGUACGGCACAGGUGAUGUGUGAUGGGACGUGUCCAUGCUACACACCAGCCAUGUCCAGAGCAAACUCACUCUCACUGCAAAUCCUUCUUGACAGCAAGCAGCCAGUAGAACAGGAAACCCAUGCUUAAUGGCAAGUUAUUUUCAUGGUAAUUGAUCAUCUUGCCUUUCCUACCCAUAGGUUCAGAAAAGUAGACCAAGGAGUCCAAUUCACUAGGAGAGACUGAGACAA
rnacentral:lncRNA from 1 species